CUAACAGGUAAACCCGAAGUUUAAAUAGCCUCUGAAAUUCCAGUUGCCCGUGUUUGGGAUAUACUCGAGACUUUGGUCACCCCAAAAAAUACACUAGGCAGACUAGCGAAACAAGAUGACAUCCCCCAAAAAGCAAGGUUUAUUACGGGAGGCAUCUCACCAGAUCAUUGCCGGUGGAUCAGCAGUGUAACCAGAACAAUGCAAACCAGAACCAUGCAAACCAGAACCAUGCAAACCAGAACCAGAGCCGUGCAAACCAGAGCCGUGCAAACCAGAGCCAUGCAAACCAGAGCCGUGCAAACCAGAACCAGAACCAUGCAACCCAGAACCAGAACCAUGCAAACCAGAAUCAUGCAAACCAGAAUCAUGCAAACCAGAACCAUGCAAACCAGAACCAUGCAAACCAGAACCAUGC